GGGGGCGACAUGGCUUCGACGCAGGUCGCAAAACCUGAGGUGCAUGCCGAGGUUGCAGUCAACCUCGUAAAAAAGGCUGCAGUCAAAAUAUAGUAGCCAACGACGACAGCUACGCUCUGGCGGCCUAAGAACCCGCCAGCUGUUCCCGCUUGGUGCCUGUGCCGGGCGGUGAGCAGUCAUAGACACAGGCUAGCGGUGGCCGGAUAGGUCCGGUCCGGCAUCGCGAAAGCCAACGGGCUCGCGGGUAGGAGGCCCUGCCGCUUGGGCGCUUACCCGUUAAAGAGAAUAGAGCGGCUAAGCAUGUAGUACCGAGGGUGGAGCUCCUGCGGACGCGGGUUCGAUUCCCGCCGCCUCCACCA
rnacentral:tmRNA from 1 species